rnacentral:rRNA from 1 species
GACGAACGCUGGCGGCGUGCUUAACACAUGCAAGUCGAACGAAGUGGCGAACGGGUGAGUAACGCGUAAUCAACCUGCCCUUCAGCGGGGGACAACCGUUGGAAACGCCUGCUAAUCCCUCCUACUGAAGUGGGGGAUUUCGGCUGAGUAGCUAGGUGGAGGGGUAACUGCCCACCAAGGCGAUGAUCAGUAGCCGGUCUGAGAGGAUGAACGGCCACAUUGGGACUGAGACACGGCCCAGACUCCUACGGGAGGCAGCAGUGGGGAAUCUUCCGAAAUGGACGAAAGUCUGACGAAGCAACGCCGCGUGAGUGAUGACGGCCUUCGGGUUGUAAAGCUCUGUUAAUCGGGACGCGGUACCGGAAUAGAAAGCCACGGCUAACUACGUGCCAGCCGCCGCGGUAAUAC